rnacentral:rRNA from 1 species
UACGAAGGGGGCUAGCGUUGUUCGGAAUUACUGGGCGUAAAGCGCGCGCAGGCGGCUCUUCAAGUCAGGGGUGAAAGCCCAGAGCUCAACUCUGGAACUGCCUUUGAGACUGAAGAGCUUGAGUACGGGAGAGGUGAGUGGAAUUCCCAGUGUAGAGGUGAAAUUCGUAGAUAUUGGGAAGAACACCGGUGGCGAAGGCGGCAACCUGGUCCUUGACUGACGCUGAGGCGCGAAAGCGUGGGGAGCAAACAGG